ACCUGUAUAAUGAGAGGAAUAUUUUAUGCUUUAGUUAAAUAGGCGCCCACCUGUAUAAUGAGAGGAAUACUUUUAUGUCUUAGUUAAAUAGGCGCACACCUGUAUAAUGAGAGGAAUACUUUUAUGUCUUAGUUAAAUAGGCGCCCACCUGUAUAAUGAGAGGAAUAUUUUUAUGUCUUAGUUAAAUAGGCGCCCACCUGUAUAAUGAGAGGAAUAUUUUUAUGUCUUAGAUAAAUAGGCGCCCACCUGUAUAAUGAGAGGAAUAUUUUUAUGUCUUAGUUAAAUAGGCGCCCACCUGUAUAAUGAGAGGAAUACUUUUAUGUUUUAGUUAAAUAGGCGUCCACCUGUAUAAUGAGAGGAAUACUUUUAUGUUUUAGUUAAAUAGACGCCAACAUGUAUAAUGAGAGGAAUAUUUUUAUGCUUUAGUCAAAUAGGCGUCCACCUGUAUAACGAGAGGAAUACGUUUCCGUCUUUACAUUUCAUGUCUCAGGCACCCACCUGUAUAAUGAGAGGAAUACUUUUCAGUCUUAUACUGCAGAUCCUGAAAUCAGUAACCCACCGGAAGGAAAC
rnacentral:lncRNA from 1 species